UACGUAGGGUGCGAGCGUUGUCCGGAAUUAUUGGGCGUAAAGGGCUCGUAGGCGGUCUGUCGCGUCGGGAGUGAAAACUCAGGGCUUAACCCUGAGCCUGCUUCCGAUACGGGCAGACUAGAGGUAUGCAGGGGAGAACGGAAUUCCUGGUGUAGCGGUGAAAUGCGCAGAUAUCAGGAGGAACACCGGUGGCGAAGGCGGUUCUCUGGGCAUUACCUGACGCUGAGGCGCGAAAGCGUGGGGAGCAAACAGG
rnacentral:rRNA from 1 species